AUGCUUCAUCUUUUUAAUAUAUUUCAUGAAAAUAAGGAUUCCGACAAUUGUGCAAAAUUGUUAGAAGAAGAAUGCAUUAGAAUGUUUGUCACUAAAUCUUUGUACGAUGAGCAUGAUUGCAAUGUUGUUAGGAUGAAUUCGUUGAAUAUCUAUGGUGCUAAUGAUAUGCAGAGCCACAAGCUUGGGGAUGCUAUGUUUGAUGAAGAUGAUAUUUUUUGUCCCCCAAGUUUUUAUGAGCAAAUUUAUUAUGAUGAGAGCAUGCCUCCUAUUUAUGAUGAUUAUAUUGAUGAAAGUGGUUUUGCAAGAGUGUCAACUUUAGGAAGUAAUGAUCCCACUAUUUUGGAGGGUGUUGAAUCUUAUUGUGAUAAUUAUGAAAGUGGGUUUGGAGAGGUCAUGACUUUAGUUAAUGUUAAUCCCACUAUUUUGGAAGAGUGUCAAAUUUGCAUGCUUGUAGAUCAUGAAAGAAUGCUUUAUGUGAUAGUUAUAUUAUUGAAUUCAUUCACGAUGCUACUGAAAAUUAUUAUGAGGGAGGAAUAUAUGCUUGUAGGAGUUGCAAUAAUAUCAAGUUUCCUCUCUAUGUGCUUAAAAUCUUGA
rnacentral:rRNA from 1 species